CUAUGCGCCUUGCCAGCCCGCUCAGUCAGAGUUUGAUCCUGGCUCAGAACGAACGCUGGCGGCGCGCUUAACACAUGCAAGUCGCACGCCCUUUCGGGGGGAGUGGCGCACGGGUGAGUAACGCGUGGGAACCUGCCCUGGGGUUCGGGACAACCGCGGGAAACUGCGGCUAAUACCGGAUACGACCAUUGGUGAAAGAAGCAAUUCGCCCUGGGAUGGGCCCGCGUCCGAUUAGCUUGUUGGUGGGGUAACGGCCUACCAAGCUUCGAUCGGUAGCCGGUCUGAGAGGAUGAUCGGCCACACUGGGACUGAGACACGGCCCAG
rnacentral:rRNA from 1 species